rnacentral:rRNA from 1 species
GACGAACGCUGGCGGCGUGCUUAACACAUGCAAGUCGAACGAUGAAGCUAGAGCUUGCUCUGGUGGAUUAGUGGCGAACGGGUGAGUAACACGUGAGUCACCUGCCCCGAACUCUGGGAUAACUGCUGGAAACGGUAGCUAAUACCGGAUAUGACCAAUGAAGGCAUCUUCUGUUGGUGGAAAGAAUUUCGGUUCGGGAUGGACUCGCGGCCGAUCAACUUGUUGGUGAGGUCACGGAUGACCAAGGCGACGACGGGUAGCCGGCCUGAGAGGGCGAUCGGCCAGACUGGGACUGAGACACGGCCCAGACGCCGGCGGGAGGCAGCAGUGGGGAAUAUGGCACAAUGGGCGCAAGCCUGAUGCUGCAGCGCCGCGUGAGGGACGACGGCCUUAGGGUUGUAAACAUCUUUUAGUAGGGAAGAAGCGAAAGUGACGGUACCUGCGGAAAAAGCACCGGCUAACUACGUGCCAGCCGCCGCAGUAA